GCAGACAAAAUAUUCACCAUGGACAACAGCAUCACUCAAAAAUUUAAAUAGCUAAGGUUACUUACCUUCAUGCCACUGCAACACACAUCUAGAAGAUCUCUCUAAGGUAGUAUUUCAAAUAGUUGAGAUAUUACUAGAGAUAGUCCAAUUCUGUGAAGCCAUAUGAUACUCUUGCGCACUGAAUGUGUCAGCCGAGCCGUUCUCUUUCCUGACACUUUUCUCCUCAUUAGCAGUCAAGUUACCUUUAAAAAUAAAAAAAAAAAUGGCGCCGUCUGGACGCGACGCUGACGUCGAGUGUAGCAAAUCAGGUGAUUAAACGCGGCAUGGCGUUUUGUUCAAAACAUAUCAUCGACGAAAAUGUUUGACUGAAAUAACAGAUAGGAGCAUAGGUUCCUAAAACGCAAGCAGUUAUGCCACAAGACGGCUUAUAUUUUAGCUGUAUAUAAAGUUGUGUUUGUUUUUUUUUUUUUUUUUUUUUUUUGAGUAAUUCACUGAAUUGAACGGAUAAGGAACACCACGAUGACGAAACAUAAGAUGCAUUCAUGGCAGGAGGUCAGGACUGAAGAACACUGGGUCAGGGAAGCAAGGCGGGGCUUGGUGAAGAGUAAAGCUCCAUCCUUUAGCCCACACUCGCCUUCUUUUCCCAUAAUGAGGCCCACAGGCUGGGAAAAUGUAAAUACAGCAAUUACAACAUUGGAAGUUCUGGCCCAAGGGGUUGCCCUUUACACGGAACGCUGAGUGCUGGGCACAUUAGGAUGGAUGUGUUUGCGCUAAUGGCCCGCUCUACACUUCGCCCCCACAAUGUGGAGAAAUGCAUAAAAGCUACACCAAUUCAACUUACAUAUUGAUGCCAACUGUGGGCCACAUGCUUUCCUUUUCAUCCACCCCCUUCCAUCAACUCUCUCUUCAAUGAUGAGUGUCAUCCAGUUACACUGGCAAUUAGGAAAGAAAAAAAAAAGGUACGUGCGCAUUUGUUCUGAGAGAAAUUUGAUUAAACAGUGGUGGGAUUAAUGUACUGUUAUUAUAUCACAUUGUUGUGCUGCACAAUGCAUGUAUAUCGGGGUAUAUAAACAUCACUGCCGAGGGGAGUUUGUGCUGGUGUUUUAAAGUUUUACAUAAGCUGUGAUUUUAAAGGGGAAAUCUAAUUAAAGGUGUAAAUGAUGAAGCAAUGUAAACCGCAUGCUCUUUUAGUUGCUUAGCACGCUUCACCAAUACUAAAACCCCUUAUUAAAAAAAAAAAAAAAAGGAUGAGCAAGUUGGUCCUUGAUUUGCACAUUUAACUGGAUGAUGCUUUUGGUUUAAUUGUGAAACUGCGAGAGUGGCACCAGUGUGGUGAUUUAUAAAGCUUUCCAAAGUGUCUAAUGGGACAACUGAACAGAGCAUUUGCAUAUUGGAUGAGGCACAGAAUGGAAGAGGGAAAGAAAGAAGCAUAAUAAAAAGGCGUCAACUGAAAAAAGUGAUAUCUACAGUAUAUUAUAGGCAGGGUACUACUGUU
rnacentral:lncRNA from 1 species